rnacentral:lncRNA from 10 species
CACACUCCACAGAUGAAAGGAGGAAGAAGAAAGUUUCCCUCCGGGGGAGGCCAGGCCAGGUUAGACCCAGGACAUCCUGAUGGACUAUUUAGGUGUGAAAAGCAGAGGCUCAGGGGCUGACCUGGGAGGAGAAGCUGCAGGAAACCCAGCAAGAAAUGCCCAGGGUCUGUCUACCAGAAUUCCACCAUCUGAAGUCCCCGGGGUGCAAAUCCUGUUUGCUGUUAAUUCUUCCAGCUCUCACGUAUGGUGGCUUGUUGUGUCACGUGUUUUGCAAUUUUGCAUUGCGCGUUCCAUCUUUGUCAGAGCUUUAUCCGUGGGAAUCGGUGUGUCUAGGCUGGGAGUCCGUCUCUCCCUGGGGGGUGAGCUUAUACUUCCACGAGGCACCAGAAGACACUCCAAACCCAAGACUGCUUGAAGUUUAGUUCCCAUCUUGCAUGUAGAAUAAAUUCAGAUCCAAAAUAU